rnacentral:rRNA from 1 species
AACAACGCUGGCGGCGUGCCUAACACGAUCGCAAGUCGUACGAGAAAGUCGGCUUCGGCCGAUGAGUACAGUGGCGCACGGGUGAGUAGCGCGUGGGUAACUCUGCCCCCCGGUCAGGAAUAACCCGCCGAAAGGCGGGCUAAUACCCGAUAACACUGACGCUCCGCGGAGCGUCUUUCAAAGGAGGCCUCUGUUUACAAGCUUUCGCCGGAGGAUGAGCCCGCGUACCAUUAGCUAGUUGGCAGGGUAAUGGCCUACCAAGGCUGCGAUGGUUAGCUGGUCUGAGAGGAUGGCCAGCCACACUGGAACUGAGACACGGUCCAGACUCCUACGGGAGGCAGCAGUGAGGAAUCUUGCGCAAUGGGGGAAACCCUGACGCAGCAACGCCGCGUGAGUGAGGAAGGCCUUCGGGUCGUAAAGCUCUGUCAGAUGGGAAGAAAUGGGUGGGGGCUAAUAUCGCCCAUCCUUGACGGUACCAUCAGAGGAAGCACCGGCUAACUCCGUG